rnacentral:misc_RNA from 1 species
GAUGAAGAACGCAGUGAAAUGCGAUACUUGGUGUGAAUUGCAGAAUCCCGUGAACCAUCGAGUCUUUGAACGCAAGUUGCGCCCGAAGCCAUCAGGUUGAGGGCACGUCUGCCUGGGCGUCACAUAUCGUUGCCCAAUGCCUAUUGCAGUGCAAUAGGAAUUUCUAGGGCGAAUGAUGGCUUCCCGUGAGCGUUGUUGCCUCGCGGUUGGUUGAAAAUCGAGUCCUUGGUAGGGUGUGCCAUGGUAGAUGGUGGUCGAGUUAGAACGAUACUGAUCAUGUGCAUGCUCCCCAAAAUAUGGCCUCUAUGACCCACACGCGUCUUUUGACGCUCAUGACGAGACCUCAGGUCAGGCGGGGCUACCCGCUGAAUUUAAGCAUAUCAAUAAGCGGAGGA